CCUACGGGGUGCAGCAGUGAGGAAUAUUGGUCAAUGGGCUUACGCCUGAACCAGCCAAGUCGCGUGAGGGAAGACUGCCCUAUGGGUUGUAAACCUCUUUUGUCAGGGAGCAACGCCGGCUACGUGUAGCCGGACUGAGAGUACCUGAAGAAAAAGCAUCAGCUAACUCCGUGCCAGCAGCCGCGGUCAUACGGAGGAUGCGAGCGUUAUACGGUUUUCUUGGGUUUAAAGGGUGCGUAGGCGGAAUGCCAAGUCAGCGGUAAAAUCGCGGGGCGAAACCUCACUCCGCCGUUGAAACUGGCGUGCUUGAGUGGGCGAGAAGUAUGCGGAAUGCGUGGUGUAGCGGUGAAAUGCAUAGAUAUCACGCAGAACUCAGAUUGCGAAGGCAGCAUACCGGCGCCCAACUGACGCUGAAGCACGAAAGCGUGGGUAUCGAACAGGAUUAGAUACCCGGGUAGUC
rnacentral:rRNA from 1 species